CCUACGGGCGGCAGCAGUGAGGAAUAUUGGUCAAUGGGCGGGAGCCUGAACCAGCCAAGCCGCGUGAGGGAAGAAUGUACAGCGUAUCGUAAACCUCUUUUGUCAGGGAAUAAAGUCGGGGACUAGUCCCCGGUUGAGGGUACCUGAUGAAAAAGCAUCGGCUAACUCCGUGCCAGCAGCCGCGGUAAUACGGAGGAUGCGAGCGUUAUCCGGAUUUAUUGGGUUUAAAGGGUGCGCAGGCGGCCUGUUAAGUCAGCGGUAAAAUGUCCGGGCUCAACCCGGGCCGGCCGUUGAUACUUGGGGUCUUGAGUGGGCGUGAAGUAUGCGGAAUGCGUGGUGUAGCGGUGAAAUGCAUAGAUAUCACGCAGAACUCCGAUUGCGAAGGCAGCAUACCGGCGCCCGACUGACGCUGAGGCACGAAAGCGUGGGGAUCGAACAGGAUUAGAUACCCUUGUAGUC
rnacentral:rRNA from 1 species